GGACAGGCAACCGGGACCGGGAAAAGAAGGCACCGUCAACGAAGAAGUCACCGUUGGCGAAAUGGCCGAUCAGCUGGGCUAUUGUGCGGACUGAGGGCUGGGAAGAACCCCACCACGAGAUGGACUGGCUAGCCGGCCUUGCCCCAUCGAAGAACCAGG